GACGUAGGAGGCGAGCGUUGUCCGGAUUUACUGGGCGUAAAGCGCGCGCAGGCGGUCGCGCAGGUCAUCUGUGAAAGCCCCCGGCUCAACCGGGCGGAUGCGGGUGAAACCGCGCGACUUGAGGGUGGGAGAGGUCGGUGGAAUUCCCGGUGUAGUGGUGAAAUGCGUAGAUAUCGGGAGGAACACCCGUAGCGAAGGCGGCCGACUGGACCACACCUGACGCUGAGGCGCGAAGGCCAGGGGAGCGAACGGG
rnacentral:rRNA from 1 species